rnacentral:rRNA from 1 species
CGCGUAGGCGGCGCGACAAGUCACUUGUGAAAUCUCCGGGCUUAACUCGGAACGGUCAAGUGAAACUGUCAUGCUAGAGUGCAGAAAGGGCAAUCGGAAUUCUUGGUGUAGCGGUGAAAUGCGUAGAUAUCAAGAGGAACACCUGAGGCGAAGGCGGGUUGCUAGGCUGACACUGACGCUGAGGCGCGAAGCCAGGGAGCAAACG